AGCAGCCGCGGUAAUUCCAGCUCCAAUAGCGUAUAUUAAAGUUGUUGCAGUUAAAAGGCUCGUAGUUGAAUUUCGGGGUUAGUAGAUUGGUCGUGCCUUCGGUAUGUACUGGUCUUACUGAUUCCUCCUUCCUGAUGAACCGUAAUGCCAUUAAUUUGGUGUUGCGGGGAAACUGGACUGUUACUUUGAAAAAUUAGAGUGUUUAAAGCAGGCUAACGCUUGAAUACAUUAGCAUGGAAUAAUGAAAUAGGACGUUCGAUCUUAUUUUGUUGGUUUCUAGGAUUGACGUAAUGAUUAAUAGGGAUAGUUGGGGGCAUUAGUAUUCAAUUGUCAGAGGUGAAAUUCUUGGAUUUAUUGAAGACUAACUACUGCGAAAGCAUUUGCCAAGGAUGUUUUCAUUAAUCAAGAACGAAAGUUAGGGGAUCGAAGACGAUCAGAUACCGUCGUAGUCUUAACCAUAAACUAUGCCGACUAGGGAUCGGAUGAUGUUAAUUUUUAAUGUAACUCAUUACGGUCGACC
rnacentral:rRNA from 1 species